rnacentral:rRNA from 1 species
GGGCCCGCACAAGCGGCGGAGCAUGUUGCUUAAUUCGACGCAACGCGAAGAACCUUACCAAGGUUUGACAUGCAGGGAAAAGCCUCAGAGAUGGGGUGUCCGUAAGGGUCCUGCACAGGUGGUGCAUGGCUGUCGUCAGCUCGUGUCGUGAGAUGUUGGGUUAAGUCCCGCAACGAGCGCAACCCUCGUCCUAUGUUGCCAGCGGAUAAUGCCGGGGACUCAUAGGAGACUGCCGGGGUCAACUCGGAGGAAGGUGGGGAUGACGUCAAGUCCUCAUGCCCCUUAUGUCUUGGGCUGCAAACAUGCUACAAUGGCCAGUACAAAGGGUUGCGAGACCGCAAGGUGGAGCGAAUCCCAAAAAGCUGGUCUCAGUUCGGAUUGGGGUCUGCAACUCGACCCCAUGAAGUCGGAGUCGCUAGUAAUCGCAGAUCAGCAACGCUGCGGUGAAUACGUUCCCGGGCCUU